rnacentral:rRNA from 1 species
GACGAACGCUGGCGGCGUGCCUAAUACAUGCAAGUCGAACGCAGUGGGGACGGGUGAGUAACACGUUGGUAACCUCCCAUCAGAGGGGAUAACACUUGGAAACAGGUGCUAAACCGAUACUGAUGGAUGAACCCGCGGUGCAUUAGCAAGUUGGUGAGGUAACGGCUCACCAAGGCCACGAUGCAUAGCCGACCGGAGAGGGUGAUCGGCCACACGGGGACGAAGACACGGCCCAGACGCAUACGGGAGGCAGCAGUAGGGAAUCUUCGGCAAUGGGCGGAAGUCUGACCGAGCAACGCCGCGUGAGUGAAGAAGGGUUUCGGAUCGUAAAACUCUGUUGUUAGAGAAGCGGUAUCUAAACAAAAAGCCACGGCUAACUACGUGCCAGCAGCCGCGGUAAUUC